rnacentral:rRNA from 1 species
GACGAACGCUGGCGGCGCGCUUAACACAUGCAAGUCGAACGGAAAGGCCUGCUUUCCCUUGUGGAUUGCGGGUACUCGAGUGGCGAACGGGUGAGUAACACGUGAGUGAUCUGCCCCCAACUUGGGUAUAAGCCUGGGAAACUGGGUCUAAUUCCCGAUAGGACUGCAGGGUGGUGCCUGUGGUGGAAAACGAUUUUCUAGUGGUUGGGGAUGAGCUCGCGGCCUAUCAGCUUGUUGGUGGGGUAAUGGCCUACCAAGGCGGCGACGGGUAGCCGGCCUGAGAGGGUGGACGGCCACAUUGGGACUGAGAUACGGCCCAGACUCCUACGGGAGGCAGCAGUGGGGAAUAUUGCACAAUGGGCGGAAGCCUGAUGCAGCGACGCCGCGUGGGGGAUGAUGGCCUUCGGGUUGUAAACUCCUUUCGACCGCGAGGAAGCCACCUGGUUGGAAGGGUGGUGACGGUAGUGGUAGAAGAAGCACCGGCUAACUACGUG